GGGGGGGGGGUGGCACCGAAUAUUUGGUAUACAAACUUUUGAGUGAGUAAAAGGUUGGGUAAAUGAAAAACAAAACAACUCAAGGGUUGGGUAAUAAAAUUUAAUUGCCAUUUCCAAAGCAUGACUCGUUCAAAUAUAGAAGACUAAACUGCCAAGAGUCAUAUGUCAAUACAAUAUGUAAAUCAAUCAGAGUCACUAUCUUUCCGAUUUGUCAGGAGGCAAAUGGUAUCUUCAAAGAAAGUACAUGUGCAGACAACAUGAAACUUUAGACUGCAGAAAAUUGCACAAGCAGUUAUCAAACUCAUGCCAGGCCAUGUGUGGCAACUGAAUGGUAUGCUUUUGUAAAGUUUUUGGCAAGGGGUGGGUAUUUAUUUUUUAAUUGAUAUUUACGGUUGGGUAAAUUUUGUUUGGACUUUUUAAUGAAUAAUGGUUGGAUGAGCAAAUUUUUUAUCGAGAAAAACAUUAGUUCUCUUCGGUGCAACCAGAAAUAAUGACCGGUCCCUAAACUUCGUAUUCCACACUCGAGUGGAAGUAUAGGACUGAAGAAAUACUUGAUUUUUCGGACCUCAAGAAUCCAAGGAAAUUCCUUGGAGACAAGACAAUUCAAGACUACUGGCUAGCGUAAUGCCACUACUGUAAUUUACAAAAUAUAAGACGUUCAAAAUUCAUAUAUGAUACAAACAUUUGCGUACUCAAUAUUGAGCACACAAGAGCACGUUAAAGUUAGAUUACCUGUGAACCUAUUCCCUGAUGAACAAAAUUUUGAUCUAGACAAGUCUGGACAAAGAUUUCAUCACAGCUUGAAAGAGCAUCACAAUAUUAGUAAUAUUCCGAAGUUUCGUUGCGAAAUGUUGUAA
rnacentral:lncRNA from 1 species